rnacentral:rRNA from 1 species
AUUGAACGCUGGCGGCAGGCCUAACACAUGCAAGUCGAACGAGUGGCGGACGGGUGAGUAAUGUCUGGGAAACUGCCUGAUGGAGGGGGAUAACUACUGGAAACGGUAGCUAAUACCGCAUACCAUCAGAUGUGCCCAGAUGGGAUUAUCUUGUUGGUGGGGUAACGGCUCACCAGGGCGACGAUCCCUAGCUGGUCUGAGAGGAUGACCAGCCGCACUGGAACGGAGAAACGGUCCAGAGUCCUAAGGGAGGCAGCAGUGGGGAAUAUUGCUCAAGGGGCGCAAGCCUGAUACAGCCAGGCCGCGUGUAUGAAGAAGGCCGUCGGGUUGGAAAGUACUUUCAGCGGGGAGGCGUUACCCGCAGAAGAAGCACCGGCUAACUCCGUGCCAGCAGCCGCGGUAAUAC